GAGUUGUCAGAGCACCGUCCUGUCCUCAGUCAGUGUUCAGGAAAAGCGCCAGGACUGUGUGUCUGCAUGCGGGAACGUUUAUCUUUAAUGUGUGGCUUUAUCCAAACUGCUAUAAAGAUUUCCAUUUGGCUAAGGCCACUAUCACUACUGGUAACAUGAAGUGAUACUUGGACCCUAAUGAGGUUGCAUAAGUAGUCCAGUUACUCCAAGAUGGCACAUCAAUACGCAACAUUGGCAUAAGGUAUGCUGUGUCUCCUAGCACAGUCUUAAGAGCAUAGAGGAGAUUCCAGGAGACAGGCAGUGACUCUACCAGAGCUGGAAAGAGCCUUAGGAGGUUCUUAACCCACCAGCAGGACCAGGAUCUCCUCCUUUGUGCAAGGAAGAACAGGAUGCCAGGACUGCCAGAACCCUACAAAAUUACCUCCAGCAGGCUACUGGUGUGAAUGUCUCUGACCAAACAAACAGGAACAGACUUCAUGAGGGCCCGACGUACUCCAGCCUGGCACCAUGGACCCAGACUGGUAUUAGCCAUAGAAUACUGGAAUUGGCAGGUCCAUCACUGGCACCCUGUGCUUUUACAGAUGAGAGCAGCUUCACCCUGAGCACACAUGACAGACAUGAAACGGUCUGGAGAAUCUGUGGAGAGUGUUAUGUCACCGGUUACAUUAUUCUACAAUAUAUGCAACAUUGUGAAGACCCCAUACUUCACUCUGCCCGCUCAUAUGUAGUUGAUGCAUGCUGUCCUAAAAUGCAUUUAAAACAGGAGAGGGGCAUGGUGCCAACGACCCUCUGCCAGAUAACAGCUGGUGUCAGCAUGGCCCCUCCCAAGAAUCCUCAAUAUCUGCACGUAUUUAAAA